rnacentral:lncRNA from 1 species
UGGGGCGCGCGCGAGGGAGUUGGGCCGGUUCGGCCCAAUUCGGCCGGGCCGGUCCGUUUACCCUUUUUUUUUUCUUUUAGGCCUUUUCUUUUUCUGUUUUUCUCAUUUCUUUGAUAUCUUUUGAGUUUGAACUCCAAAUUGGUCCAAAUAAAUCUCAGAAAAUUUGUAAAAUCAUGUUAUACCAUGAUACAACUUUUGGAAGUAUUUUCCUCUCAAAAUAAAAUAUAUAAAAAUACAUUUGCCCUAUAAAUGCCUUUAGGGCUAUAUAUAUCCAUUUAAAUAAAAUAUUUGUUUCAACUCCAAAUAAUUAUCCAAAAAUUAUGGGAUAGCUUAUAUAUGCAAUAAACCCCUUUUAUACUUGAACCUUAAUGGUUUGAAGAUCCAAAGCUCAAAUGGGUGUAAACUCUAGGGUUUAAAAUGAAACAAAAAUCUUUCCAAAGCCCUUUUGAGAUUCAAAUUUGAAUUCAAAUAUGCAAUUGUGGCAUGAUGCUUAUGAGUGCAAUGCUCAUGUAAAGGUUUGAAAUUUUGGGAUGUUACAAACACAGAUAGAGCACAUAUAACCCUCCUGCCUCCCAGCCGUCGGGCAC